AGACCGCUCGGCGAAAGGCUGGCAAGCGCUACAGGCGGAAGGAUGAAGAGGCCGCGGGGUCAGGCGGCGUCAGGAAGCAUCUAGGUGGGGGCGGAAAGCUCCAGAAAGGCUGCAAGCCUGGCUCAAGACCCAUCUCGCGGCCUGGCAAGUGGGAAUUGCUUCCAAAUGAAUUGUGCGAUUUCUAAAUUCUUCUUACGAAUGAAGGCAAAUAUACGUGUCCCAGGAUAAUGAUGCGAGAUUGAAUUUGGGUCAGUCAUCGGGAGCAGAGAUUAAGUCUUCCGAGCUUUUGGAUUCAUGCUGGAGCCCAUCUUCAGGGAAUUUCUCUCUACUGGAAUACAUUCUUUGGACUGUUCUGUGAGUUGUGUUUAUGUGAUGCCUUCCUAUUGGCUGAUUGGUGUAUUGAUAGCUGGUGAUUGGCUGUUGUUUUCUUCUAAUGCCAAGCCCUUGGCUCCUAAGUAUUUGAUAAGCUGGCGGUAAAUCUGCAUAUAAUAAGAUAUAAGAUUCUUCUUAUAUCCUGCUCUAAUCAGAUUGAUUAUGUGUGAACUCCAUUUUAGCAUGAUUUUAAGUCACUAUGCUUAUAGGAUCUAAAGAAAAGCCAUAUUGGGGUCAUUUUUUUCUUUAACGUGUCUCCCAAAAAAUUAUUCAUUUGUUGCAGUUGUUUAUUGACAAUCUCAUGGCUCUGGAUGGUUUAUGAUAUAAAUAAAUAUAAAUAUAUAAAUAAAUAUAAAUAUACAAGACAACUGCCAAUUGUGAAUUUUAACCCCAAACAACAACUCAGAUCACUACUAUCCUGCAAAGUCUAAAUGAAAUAAUUUUGACAGCCUUGUGGAAAUCCAACAAAGGAGGGGGGCAGCAGUACUUCUGGGAACAAAAUAAUCCUAAGUUUCAGGGCUAUGAUGCAGAAGUCUGUGAGAGUGGAAGAAUCAUUUUGAAGAUGAGAGACCCUAAAACAGCUUGAUGUUAUGCCAUAUUUAUAGUAAUAACCAGCAUUUUGAACUGGGCUCAGAAACAUAUAGAUAACUAGUGCAAGUACUGAAGAAUAAAUUAUAUUGUGCAAUAGGAUAAUAGGUCUCAUCUCUGCAGUUUGUAUAAAUUGUGGCUUCUGAGUCAUCUUCAUAACCAUCCCCAGGUAGUGUAUGUUGCAAUACUGUAAUUGUAAGAUAAUGAAGGCAUGAGUCACUGUUGCCAGGAAGAUUUAUAAUUGAUGUAAAGCUGAAGAUGGGAAAAAGCUCUUUUUGCUAUGUUCUCUUCCUGUUGCUCUAGCUGCCUAGAAGCAAAGAGUCCCAAGAGGAUCUCAAAUUCCUGCUCUUUCAGAGGAGUGCUGUCCCAUCCAAAAGUGUCAAUGGAAUUGAAUUAGAACACAGACGUUUUUGAAAAACAAUGUCUUGCUAGAAUUACAUUUUAGAUUAUUUUGUCUCAUUCAGUCUCUCAUAACUUCUGUAGACAAGAGCAGUGUUUCUCAAUCUUGGCAGAUUGAAGAUGUGUGGACUUCAAUUCCAGAUUUCCCUCCUUCAACUCAAGUGAAGCUGCCUGCGGCAUUCUGAGAGUUGAAGUCCACACAUUUUCAAGGUACCAGGGCAGAGAAACACUAGAACAGAAGAUUUCCACAUCAUUUUUGGCCUGGUUUGAGAUAGCAAUGUUAAAUCAAGAAUCAUUGACAUUCUGAUGACACCUGAUCACAAACCAAAAGCUAAGAUCUCCUAGUGGUUUUAUUUAGCCAUUAAACAAUAUAGGGGAGAUGUGUGAGGUUUGUGGUAUUCUACAUUAGGGCAACCAAAGGUUUAACUGCUCUACCCCAGUGGGUACCAGUUAGAGCUGCCCACUCAUAAAAUAUGUUCCAUGCUCCCAGUUUUGAGGUUAAUCCAACCUGCCACUUAUCCAAGAAAGUUUUCUAGAAGAGUCACUAAUGCUGUCUCAAAUCCAUGUCCAGGUCUCACUGGAAUGGAUCUAGAUAAUCUGCUUUAUCUGGAGUUUUCUUUACCUGACAUCCCACCAACCUCUCCAGAAUCUUUUUGCAAAAAGGGAGAUCAAAGACUUGGAAGUAGAUCAAGUAGAUCAAGAGAUGUCUUUAAGAGACAAAGUACUUAAGGUAGUCCUUAACUCAUAACUAUUCAUUUUGCGAUUGUUUGAAGUUACAAUGGUGCUGAAUAAAAGUUAUUUACAUCCAGUCUUCAUGCAUAAACUACUGCAGUGUUCCUGCAGUUCUAUGAUCAAAAUUGGAGCGUUUAGAAAUUGUACAGUAUUUAUGAUGGUUGCAGUGUCCUGGGUUCAGAUGAUCACCAUUUGUGACUUCCCAGGUAGCUUUUGACAAGCAAAAUCAAGGGAAAGCUGUUGCUUAAUGACUAUAUAAUUCAAUUAACAACCAUAGUGAUUCGUUCAAUAACCACAGCGAAAAAGGUAAAAAAAAAUCUGGCAUGACUCAUUUAAAAGACCAUGUUCCCUACCAAUGGAAGUUUCAGUCCCAAUUGUGACCUUAAGUUGGGCACUAUCUGUGCCUGACCUCUUUCAAGUUGUUGGCAUCUCACCUCCCCAAUCCACCUGAAUUAUCCUCCCACCCUCUUCCUGAGAAAAUCAGAGGGCCCUAGCUGGGCAUGGGUCCAGCCUAAUGAUGUCAGGAUUUAUUCCUAGAAAACCAUAUUCAUUCCCUCAGGCUUCACAAGUUUGCAAAAAUCCAACUCAUAUAGCAAGACACAGCCUCUACUAUAUUAACCCUUGCAAUUGGCAUGGAAUCUUAAGCCAAUAGGAAAGACGUUAUUUGUAAAUACGCAUACAAACUUGUCACAACUGUCUGAAGAUAUAUUAUUCUACCUUUCCUCCCCUAACAGGACCCAAGUAAUUCUGAACAGGGUACCUGAAUGGAAACUGACAAAUGCAAUAAGAGCGAAUAUACAUGCUUCAUUGCUUUUAUUGCCACAAUCUAAGUCUGAACAUGGGCUUGGUUAUAUUCAUUCAUGCACAUGUAAACACUGCUUAACCAGCCUAGUCAAAUAUGAUCUUAGUUUACAUUGCUCAUUUCAGAAAUAGAAUUCAGACAUUUUAUCUGCCAGAUUCAAGUGGAUGCAAAAAAGAGAUACUUUUUUGAAUCAUAUUAAAUUGAAUAGCAUUCAUUUUCUUAUGUGCCAUUACUAGUGAAAUAAUUCCUUUUACAUUAAAACUUAAAUUUUCUUGAGGCUGCUGAAUGAUGUCUUCAUCAUUCUGAAACUACCACGAAGAUCUGUCCUCAACAGAAUCAGCCUUACAACAAGUUGAAAUAAGAAAUUGUGUGCAGAAUUUGGCAUCUUGAGAAUCUGUUUUCAUCUGUUUUUACACACUGUUGGUCAAAAACCUCAAUAAGAUUUUCAACAAUUGGGAUGAGGUUCUUUGUGCCCUAUAGAGAUCCUGUUCUAUGACUAGAAAACUCCAAAAUGGUAAAAAGAACGCAUUAUUUAAAAAGAAAUAUGCAAUGACAUAUACUGCACAACUAAAUAAUUGUACUUGUUAUUGGUAUUUCUUCUAUUUUGUUUAAUAUAUAUCACACCCUGCACUUUGCAUAAUCAUGUAUCUUGAAACUACAGGCACUUUAGACACUUUAGACUUUAGAUCUGUAUUUUUAUCUUCUCCUUAUGCAGCAAGAACACUGUUUAAAUCCUAAGUGCUGGCCAUACAGUUUAGUUCAAAUUAUUAAGGACUAGUAUAAUACUCUUUAAAGUAUAAAUCAAUUUAUAAUUAAAUUGAAAAUGGCUUACUGAAGCCAAGAGAAAAGCAUUGCCUGUUUGCUAACUGGUUGUGAGAUUUUUUGCAGUGUUUGAACAUUUGGUUCUGUGCAAUCUAAAUUGGUAGUGAGUGAAACCACUAUGCUGUAUUCACAUUGGAUUGUGUUCUUACAUCAGAAUACACUCUACAGGAAAAUACAGUUUUCCCAUUCAUACAUGUUGCUUCAGAGUAAUAAUCUCUAGGCCAAAUUUGGGCUGUCUAAGGAUAUUACAAUUAUUGCUGAAAAAGUCAAAGAAUAUGCAAAAGAACUCAAUAUAUGCUUCAUGGAUUAAGUUGCAUUAAUGUCAAAAGUUUUAGAAUAUUCUUAGAAAUAUGGGAAUUUCUGGCACACAGUCCAGAUGCCCUUGUCUCGGCUUGGCACGCUCAUGUGAUGGGGCUUGGACUGAAUUGCACCUGUGUGGGCUCUAUGCAUGCACAUCUCAUAGAGCACCAUGGUUUACUGACAAGUUACCAGAGAAGAAAUAGCAAAAGAGGUAUCUAUAGAGUAUUGCUGCAGAAAGGCAAAAAGUGGCUGAUUGAUCACAGGUAAGAACUUUUACUUAUGACCGGUCACUAAGCAACCGGUGGAAAUUACAACAUACCAUACUUAUGAUCCAUUUUCAGUGGCAUUUUCAACUGAACGCAAGUUACGACAGUGCUGAAAAAGAUGUCUGCAUUUACAACCCUAUCUACAUUUUUUAAAAAAAAAUCACAUUAUCUAAAACACUUUUGUUAUAAAAAUGAAUUAUAUGUACCACUUAUGCCAAGUUCCAAAAUGCUUAGUAUAUUACAGAAUUAGGUUCAGAUCUAAUACAAGAUGAUUGAAUUUAGAGUGACAGCUGACAUUUUCUUUGUCACUGUUGCUUAAAAAAACAGAAUCUUAACACGUAAAGUCAAGACAAACAUGUCAAACCAACCUGUUAUGUCAUGUUAACAGAAGGUUUGGGGCAGGCGCCUUGUAGAUAAUGUUGGCUCUGACUUUCCAAUCUAAGAACAAUUCUGUACAGGGACACUAAGAAAAAGUAAACUUCCGUAUAAAUUCAUACCUGCAGCUUAUUGGCACUGAUAUCAGGAAGUCUGGUCUGAUUUAAAUCUGGAACAGUUGAAGACUGACCUGAAACUUAGAUCUCAUAUAAGGAAAUGAAAAGGCAUAUAACUUUAAAAAAGAUUAAAGAGCAAAACUAAAAAGACAUUUCUGUAUAGAUGUGAAAUCUUCACGUACUAUUUAUUAAAUAUAUAUUGUAAUUUUUAAUAUUAAAAAAUAGUAUGUUUUCAUCCAACUUCACAAAUUUCUUACUCCAAUAUACUUACUAUUAGUACUGCAUAGCCUAAAAGAAAGAAAAAUUAAAUAUGCAUUGAUUAUCCUAUCACAUAUAAUUUGUGUAAAGUUGUAUAUAUAAAUAAAAUUAUAUGGAAAACAUUUCAUGGACUUCAUUAUGUUUAGCUGGUUUGUUCUGUUUGUAUCAUAAAAAGAUAUCAGAUCUAUCUGGUUAUAAAGACUAUUAUUAACAAUGCAAAAGUGGAUGCACACUUUUAUUGUUUGCCUUCUAUACCGAUACAACUCUAUUCUGGGAAACUGUUGUCAUUGCGCAACUUGGUAGCUUAAGUACAUGAAUAAAAUAAUUUAUGGCAUUGCCAUUUUCACUACUUAACAUCUUCACAUUUUGUGAAUAUCCCAUUCUUAGGUGACAAAAAGAUCAUUUUCACCUUAAUUGACUGCAUAUUCUAAAGUUUCAGGAAAAAUCUGUCAUCUACAGGUAUAAAUCCUAAUUGGGGUCAGAUUAAAUAUAAACAUCCACAUAACUAAACAUUUAAAUUAAAAGCUGGAUCAGACAAUUUAGGAUGGUGGUAGACAUAAUAAAAAAAUGACAUUCUUCAGUUCAGAUGGACUGCAGAGAUAGAUCACUUAUAAUUUUUAGUUUUAUUAGGUAUUAUGCAUUUAGGUAUUAAGAAUGGUAUUCAUGGCAAAGCAAUGCUAUAAGCAUUGAAAAGACCUUUUUGCAAAAAAUAUUCCACAAUGACUAAGAACAAAUGAAUUUUGCAAACUCCCACUUUUUAGUGAACAACUAUCCAACUCUUCACAACCAUUUCUAAAACAAUAUAAACUAUUCAAAGUUGGUUGAAUAUAAGAGACAUAUAUUCAUAAAAAUACCAUCAAACUGUCCCAAAACAGAUCUGUUUUUAGCCGAAUGGCUAAUUUUGCUAUUGUUAUGAAUAUCAUUUUGAAAGAAUCAUAGCAUGAUUUAGGACAAGCUUAAACAUUUCUUUUCAGUCUCAAAAGCUGUUCUUAAAAUGGGAUAACAGGCAGUAUUUUAUCUGGUCAAGUGAAGAAGAGUGUCUUAACUGGGAAAUUAAUUAUGUGACAUACUUAAGAUACAUAUGAAGAACUUUAAAAAUCACAUUAAAGAGUAGACACAACUAGCAUAUUCAAUACCCUUUUCAAAUUAGUUGUUGUACAGUCUAUUUGGCUACCAAGAAUUUUCAGAGAUACCAUUUUAUUGUGAUAAAAUAUUAUCCACAAGUUCCCUUCCCAUAAAUAACACAAUGCUAUCAAUUUGCUCAAUUUAUUUUAACAAAAUUGAUGUAGAAAUAUCACUGAAUUAAACAAACAUCUGAACAUAUAAACAUCUGCCAUGUUCCUGAAACAGGAGUUAAUACCUGUGCACAUUAAAAUUCAUUAGGAACACUAUCAAUUAAUAAGGCUUGUCUUCAAAACAACUAAAUCCAGUUUGUUGCUUUAAUUAUUCUUGCAUUGCAAGUUAAUUUUACGAAAAUUUUCAAAUGUACACAAUUAGACAUUAUGGGAGAGUUAAUAGUACCAUUGGUUACAGCUGUUACAAGUUUUCUGCCACAUGAAAAAAAAACUAAGCCAAUCACAUCAAAUAAUCAUGGCUUUUCUUUAAUAGUUGUUCACCAAGUUAUGUUAAUUAUGGUCCUUUAAACACACACAAACAUUUCAUAAAGGCUAUAUACAGUUGUACAUGGCUGAGCAUGCACUAUUCAUAGAUACCUGCCUGUUUAACAUGAUGUCAUUAUAAUGCUUGAAAAUGAUGCAAUUCAACUUCCAUUUUAAUCAAUAAUUACAAGUGGAAAGAUGGUUCGUCUCCCAUUUUAAUCCAUAAUUACAAGUGGAAAGAUGGUUUGUUUUACAAUUGCUGUUGUUGCAUGAUUUUUUUAAAAAAAUACAAAACAAAAAA